UACAGAGGUCCCGAGCGUUGUUCGGAUUCAUUGGGCGUAAAGAGCGCGCAGGCGGCUUGGUAAGUCGGAUGUGAAAUCCCGAGGCUCAACCUCGGGUCUGCAUCCGAUACUGCCCGGCUAGAGGUAGGUAGGGGAGAUCGGAAUUCCUGGUGUAGCGGUGAAAUGCGUAGAUAUCAGGAGGAACACCCAUGGCGAAGGCAGCAAACUGGUCCGUAUCUGACGCUGAGGCGCGAAAGCGUGGGUAGCAAACAGG
rnacentral:rRNA from 1 species